GUACACUCCUACGAGGCAGCAGUGGGGAAUAUUGGACAAUGGGCGCAAGCCUGAUCCAGCCAUGCCGCGUGAGUGAUGAAGGCCCUAGGGUUGUAAAGCUCUUUCACCGGUGAAGAUAAUGACGGUAACCGGAGAAGAAGCCCCGGCUAACUUCGUGCCAGCAGCCGCGGUAAUACGAAGGGGGCUAGCGUUGUUCGGAUUUACUGGGCGUAAAGCGCACGUAGGCGGACUAUUAAGUCAGGGGUGAAAUCCCGGGGCUCAACCCCGGAACUGCCUUUGAUACUGGUAGUCUUGAGUUCGAGAGAGGUGAGUGGAAUUCCGAGUGUAGAGGUGAAAUUCGUAGAUAUUCGGAGGAACACCAGUGGCGAAGGCGGCUCACUGGCUCGAUACUGACGCUGAGGUGCGAAAGCGUGGGAAGCAAACAGGAUUAGAAACCCCAGUAGUCCCAUG
rnacentral:rRNA from 1 species